GCUCCAAAAGAAGUUCUACAUGUUAAAGACUUGGAGGAGAAGAUUCAAAGCCAGAAGAAAUGUUUCAGAAAUAGCUGGGGGUAGUGUGCAAGAAUAAGGAGCCUUCUGCAGCCAGGAGAAAUCCCUGCAGCAGGGUUGAACAGCAAUAGCAGACUAUGGAGACUGCAAUGUUAUUUCUGUCUCUCCACCAAGCUGGUUAGACACCUAACAAAGCAAUUCCAGUGGUGGAACCAAGGAUCUACUCAAGCUCCUGGUAGAAAUGGAGCACCUCCUGCCCCUGGAUGCAGCAUUGAAACCACGGGCACACCAUGCUGCCUUCCUGACCACUCCUCCCCUCUCGCUGCAGCAGCAAGUUUUGCUCACUGAUCACCCUAUAUGCAAGCUUUUAGGAAGAAUUUUGUUCUUCUAGCAUGCAAUUGAAGAAGAAUCAAAAAACCUUUACAAAGACACUGCAAUGACUUUUUGAAGGUAAGUUUUGAUGAGCCUCUCAGUUUGUCAUUUCUUUUCUACAUACUUAGG
rnacentral:lncRNA from 1 species